GUUCUAAGGGCGUUGAAGCAUGAUCGUAAGGACAUGUGGAGCGCUUAGAAGUGAGAAUGCCGGUGUGAGUAGCGAAAGACGGGUGAGAAUCCCGUCCACCGAUUGACUAAGGUUUCCAGAGGAAGGCUCGUCCGCUCUGGGUUAGUCGGGUCCUAAGCUGAGGCCGACAGGCGUAGGCGAUGGAUAACAGGUUGAUAUUCCUGUACCACCUAUAAUCGUUUUAAUCGAUGGGGGGACGCAGUAGGAUAGGCGAAGCGUGCGAUUGGAUUGCACGUCUAAGCAGUAAGGCUGAGUAUUAGGCAAAUCCGGUACUCGUUAAGGCUGAGCUGUGAUGGGGAGAAGACAUUGUGUCUUCGAGUCGUUGAUUUCACACUGCCGAGAAAAGCCUCUAGAUAGAAAAUAGGUGCCCGUACCGCAAACCGACACAGGUAGUCAAGAUGAGAAUUCUAAGGUGAGCGAGCGAACUCUCGUUAAGGAACUCGGCAAAAUGACCCCGUAACUUCGGGAGAAGGGGUGCUCUUUAGGGUUAACGCCCAGAAGAGCCGCAGUGAAUAGGCCCAAGCGACUGUUUAUCAAAAACACAGGUCUCUGCUAAACCGUAAGGUGAUGUAUAGGGGCUGACGCCUGCCCGGUGCUGGAAGGUUAAGAGGAGUGGUUAGCUUCUGCGAAGCUACGAAUCGAAGCCCCAGUAAACGGCGGCCGUAACUAUAACGGUCCUAAGGUAGCGAAAUUCCUUGUCGGGUAAGUUCCGACCCGCACGAAAGGCGUAACGAUUUGGGCACUGUCUCAACGAGAGACUCGGUGAAAUCAUAGUACCUGUGAAGAUGCAGGUUACCCGCGACAGGACGGAAAGACCCCGUGGAGCUUUACUGUAGCCUGAUAUUGAAAUUCGGCACAGCUUGUACAGGAUAGGUAGGAGCCUUUGAAACGUGAGCGCUAGCUUACGUGGAGGCGCUGGUGGGAUACUACCCUAGCUGUGUUGGCUUUCUAACCCGCACCACUUAUCGUGGUGGGAGACAGUGUCAGGCGGGCAGUUUGACUGGGGCGGUCGCCUCCUAAAAGGUAACGGAGGCGCUCAAAGGUUCCCUCAGAAUGGUUGGAAAUCAUUCAUAGAGUGUAAAGGCAUAAGGGAGCUUGACUGCGAGACCUACAAGUCGAGCAGGGUCGAAAGACGGACUUAGUGAUCCGGUGGUUCCGCAUGGAAGGGCCAUCGCUCAACGGAUAAAAGCUACCCCGGGGAUAACAGGCUUAUCUCCCCCAAGAGUUCACAUCGACGGGGAGGUUUGGCACCUCGAUGUCGGCUCAUCGCAUCCUGGGGCUGUAGUCGGUCCCAAGGGUUGGGCUGUUCGCCCAUUAAAGCGGUACGCGAGCUGGGUUCAGAACGUCGUGAGACAGUUCGGUCCCUAUCCGUCGUGGGCGUAGGAAAUUUGAGAGGAGCUGUCCUUAGUACGAGAGGACCGGGAUGGACAUACCUCUGGUGUACCAGUUGUCGUGCCAACGGCAUAGCUGGGUAGCUAUGUGUGGACGGGAUAAGUGCUGAAAGCAUCUAAGCAUGAAGCCCCCCUCAAGAUGAGAUUUCCCAACUUCGGUUAUAAGAUCCCUCAAAGAUGAUGAGGUUAAUAGGUUCGAGGUGGAAGCAUGGUGACAUGUGGAGCUGACGAAUACUAAUCGAUCGAAGACUUAAUCAA
rnacentral:rRNA from 1 species